rnacentral:rRNA from 1 species
AAACCAGCACCUCAAGUGGUCAGGAUGAUUAUUGGGCCUAAAGCAUCCGUAGCCUGUUCUGUAAGUUUCCGGUUAAAUCCAUUAGCUCAACUAAUGGGCUGCCGAAAAUACUGCAGAACUAGGGAGUGGGAGAGGUAGACGGUACUCGGUAGGAAGGGGUAAAAUCCUUUGAUCUAUUGAUGACCACCUGUGGCGAAGGCGGUCUACCAGAACACGUUCGACGGUGAGGGAUGAAAGCUGGGGGAGCAAACCGGAUUAGAAACCCGUGUAGUCC